rnacentral:snRNA from 1 species
CCGGAAGCCGGGUUACGGUG